rnacentral:lncRNA from 1 species
AAAAUUCAUGUGGCAGCCAUGGUGGGAGCUGAAAGAGAAGAUUCGCCACAGUUGGGAUCUGUGUGUUCCGUCCAGGAGGAAGAUGUCUUGUGGAUUCUGAGGAGAGCCGUCAAAGGAAUGACAGUAAAUGCCUGCCUGGUCCUGUCAGAAGAAAGGUGACAUGCUGAUGAGUGAGAAAAUGACAACAGGUUGCCCUGAGCUGUGGAGUCUGACUCCAAACAUGAGAUGUUAUUCAAAUCAGUGCCUAUGGUUCUCCAUGUAGCCGAAGGGAGACAUGGGACACUCAUAGCCACUGCUCUGCAACCCCCCUGUUCGGUUGCUGUGGUGGUAGAAGCUUGAUUGGUGGCGCCUUCUCUGUGGUUCUUUUUGUGCCUGGUCCGUCUGCUGAGUCAGAACUGUUUCUUGGUUUCAGUUGUCACUUCUUUAUGGAUGGCAUAGGCCUUGCUGAGUUUUUUUAAACUGUGCUCUGUGUCCCAGGGCUGCUACACUGACCCAGGAGCCUGACUGGCCAGUGUCAUCCUCUUGCUGUCUUUCCCAGCCAGUCUGCAGCUCCCCAGAGGACCCACUGUUACUUAUCUCCUGGGCACCUAGGAACCUGAAGCUCCUUGAUUCAGGGGGUGUGGCUGGCCAGCAAGCCUCAGGGAUGCCCUUGGCGUCCCGGGUACUAGGAUUAGAGGCACCAGCUUCCACAUGAGUGCAUUUUCUUAGGGGAGGUGAAGGCCAAGAGGAGGUGAGGAACUGUCUCUCCAAGUGCAAGCUGAUGGAUGUUUGCCAAGCCUGAAACACUGCUAAGGAGACAGAGGCAUUGCCUUCUAUGCUGGCUCUAACACCUGGAAGGGUGCCUGUUCACAUCUGGGCUGGAUGCAGUGCA